GGAAUAAAAUGGCUUACAGCAGACAUUUACAGCUACAUUCACAGAGCGCUGAGACCAGGCAAGAUGUCGGCUGCUAGGGCUGGGAGUAAGACACUGGGACAGCUGUACCGCCAGGGAUGGAACGAGAUCCCUGAGGUGAUGGCGUCCUCCUACAUGAUGCUGGCAGGCUUUGUGCUGGCAGGGGCAGGCUCUUACUUGUACAUCAAGAACGAAGGGGAGAGGAGGAGGUACCGUUUCGUCUACACUGUUUAUCGUCCAGAUGAUCCCAAAGUCAAGACGACAGUUCCCAGUGAUAUGUAGGGUGUUGCAGGCUUUUGUAUAAAUAAGUAAUGGAAUGUACAAAAAUUGUGUAAUGUACAGUAUACAUCA